UUUCGACCUGAACUCAGACGUGAAUACCCGCUGAACUUAAGCAUAUCAGUAAGCGGAGGAAAAGAAACUAAAAAGGAUUCCCGUAGUAACGGCGAGUGAACUGGGAAAAUGUCCAGCGCUGAAUCGUGGCGCCUCUGGUGCCAUGAGGUGUAGCGUACAGACCGUGAGUGUGGGUUGGCUCGCCCGUUCAAGUUUCCCUUGACCGGGGCUCCAGAGAAGGUGCAAGGCCUGUCCAACGGGUGGCUGUCAGCUCACCUUUGCGUGUCUUUGAGUCGGGUUGUUUGGGAUCGCAGCCCAAAGCAGGUGGUAAACUUCAUCUAAGACUGAAUAUGACCACGAGUCCGAUAGCGAACAAGUACUGUGAAGGAAAGUUGCAAAGCACUUUGAAGAGAGAGUUAAAAAGGACGUGAAACCGAUGAGGUGGAAACGGACAGAGCCGGCGUAUCUGGCCUGUAUUCAGCCAUGGGCCUCUGGCGCCGGGCGGUCGCUCUCCAGAUUGGGACGACUGUCUGGCUGCUCGGGUGUCUGUGGUGCAUUUGCAGGUGGAGUGCGCUGAGGCGGUCGGGGCAGCGGCAUGAGCUCGGUUUUGAGGCCAGCCCUUCGGGGUCUGGUACCCGAGCCGGGGGAGUGUUGUUUGGCCUGAUCGGUGCGGGGAAUGGUUUCGGGCUCGAUUGGGUGCCGAGCUGGCAGUCGGUGGCGGUCGCAUGCGACACGUGCCAGCGGUCAGUUCGGUCCUGGUCGAGCUCUCAAAGCUCCAUCCUCGGUGUAAAAGCUGGUCAUCUGUCCGACCCGUCUUGAAACACGGACCAAGGAGUUUAGCGUGUGCGCGAGUCAUUGGGCGUUGAAAACCCAAAGGCGCAAUGAAAGUGAAGGUCUCCCUUGCGGAGCUGAUGUGUGACCCGGGUCAUCGCGGUGGCCCGGAGCAACAUAGUCCCGUCCCGACCGCAUGCGGUGGGGCGGAGACAGAGCGUACGCGCUGAGACCCGAAAGAUGGUGAACUAUUCCUGAGCAGGACGAAGCCAGAGGAAACUCUGGUGGAAGUCCGAAGCGAUUCUGACGUGCAAAUCGAUCGUCUGACUUGGGUAUAGGGGCGAAAGACUAAUCGAACCAUCUAGUAGCUGGUUCCCUCCGAAGUUUCCCCCAGGAUAGCUGGAGCUCGCUUGAGCAGUUAUACUCGGUAAAGCGAAUGAUUAGAGGACUUGGGGACGAAAUGUCCUUAACCUAUUCUCAAACUCUAAAUGGGUAUGAAGCCGGGGUUGCUUGACUCUCUCUGUGAACCCAGGCGUUGAAUGCUGGAGCUCCAAGUGGGCCAUUUUUGGUAAGCAGAACUGGCGAUGUGGGAUGAACCAAACGCGGAGUUAAGGUGCCAAAGUGCCCGCUCAUUAGACCCCAUAAAAGGUGUUGGUUGAUAUAGACAGCAGGACGGUGGCCAUGGAAGUCGGAAUCCGCUAAGGAGUGUGUAACAACUCACCUGCCGAAUCAACUAGCCCUGAAAAUGGAUGGCGCUGGAGCGGGCCACCUAUACUUCGCCGUCAUUGGCUUGUACUGUCUCCCUGGUGAGCAAGUCUGGCCAUGACGUGUAGGAGGGUCGUGGCGGUAGCGUUGAAGGCUUUGGGCGUGGGCCCAGCUGGAGCUGCCGCCAGUGCAGAUCUUGGUGGUAGUAGCAAAUAUUCAAGUGAGAUCCUUGAAGACUGAAGUGGAGAAGGGUUCCACGUGAACAGCAGUUGAAUGUGGGUCAGCCGAUCCUAAGGCACCGGCUAAGGCCGUCACACACUACGGAUGAAGAUCUGGUUGCGCAUGCGUUGCCGAUCCAUCCGGUUGCCGAAAGGGAAGUGGGUUAACAUUCCCACGCCAGGCCAGGGAGAUGACGGUUCGCAAGAGCCGUUUCGCGCGGUAACGCAAAUGAACUCGCAGACGUUGUGUGGAGUCCGGGCCAGAGUUCUCUUUUCUGGUUUAGGACGCGUGUCCCUGGAAUCGGUUCAGCCUGAGGUAGGGAUGUUGCGUCCGUAAAGCACCGCGGUUCCUGUGGUGUCUCGUGCGCUCCACACGACCCGUGAAAAUGCGAGGGAAGCGAUGUGAAUUUCCUGCCUGAUCGUACCGAUAUCCGCAGCAGGUCUCCAAGGUGAACAGCCUCUAGUCGAUAGAAUAAUGUAGGUAAGGGAAGUCGGCAAAUUAGAUUCGUAACUUCGGGAAAAGAAUUGGCUCUAAAGGUCGGGUCAGCCGGGCUGUUGUGUGAAACAGGCGGCCUUUGCCCGUGGCUGCGUGCUGGCCCGCAAGGGUUGGCGCGUGGACUAGUGGUGAGGGCUGCUUGUGGAGCGCUUCAGCUGCGUGUACGCUUGCAAGGGUGUGCACUUCGGUUGGCGCUGAACGACCAGUUUAGAACUGGCACGAACUCGGGGAAUCCGACUGUCUAAUUAAAACAGAGGAGACGGAUGGUCCUUGCGGACGUUGACCGUGUCUGAUUUCUGCCCAGUGCUCUAAAUGUUAAGCCAAGGAAACUUGAUUAAGCGCGGGUAAACGGCGGGAGUAACUAUGACUCUCUUAAGGUAGCCAAAUGCCUCGUCCUCCAAUUAGGGACGCGCACGAAUGGAUCAACGAGAUUCCCACUGUCCCUAUCUACUAUCUAGCGAAACCACAGCCAAGGGAACGGGCUUGGCAANGGCUGCGUGCUGGCCCGCAAGGGUUGGCGCGUGGACUAGUGGUGAGGGCUGCUUGUGGAGCGCUUCAGCUGCGUGUACGCUCGCAAGGGUGUGCACUUCGGUUGGCGCUGAACGACCAGUUUAGAACUGGCACGAACUCGGGGAAUCCGACUGUCUAAUUAAAACAGAGGAGACGGAUGGUCCUUGCGGACGUUGACCGUGUCUGAUUUCUGCCCAGUGCUCUAAAUGUUAAGCCAAGGAAACUUGAUUAAGCGCGGGUAAACGGCGGGAGUAACUAUGACUCUCUUAAGGUAGCCAAAUGCCUCGUCCUCCAAUUAGGGACGCGCACCCCGGAUGACGCGUAUAAAAUUUGAACGCGUGGUGCAUGCCUUUUCGAGGUAACCGGGAUAAGUAGGUUCCUUGCUACUUGGAGCCGAAACAAAACAGCACCUAGACGGUGGUGGCCUGGCAGAGCCACUGCUGGCCGAAAAAUAAAUCUGUCUCGAGUCUUGCUGUAUUCCAUUACCACCCUCGCGAUCAUAGUGCUUGGGUUAACUAUUUGUUUGGGGGCCUUUCCUUGCCGUUGACAGGCCGGCGGCCCUUGGUGUUUUGGAUGCAGUAAGUACUCAAGCGAGUGAGCCCAGCACUCGUCUCAAAAGGGUCUUUAUGGCCCGAACAACGGCCGAGCGGACUGGCUAGACUGGCUGUCUGCGCACCGUCACAA
rnacentral:rRNA from 1 species